GAUGAACGCUAGCUACAGGCUUAACACAUGCAAGUCGCGGGGCAGCAUGGGGGUUGCUUGCAAUCCCCGAUGGCGACCGGCGCACGGGUGAGUAGCGCGUAUCCAACCUGCCCUUCACCACGGGAUAACCCGGCGAAAGUCGGACUAAUACCGUAUGUUGUCCAUUGACGGCAUCCGAUUUGGACGAAAGGCUUGGCGGUGAGGGAUGGGGAUGCGUCCGAUUAGCCAGACGGCGGGGUAACGGCCCACCGUGGCUACGAUCGGUAGGGGUUCUGAGAGGAAGGUCCCCCACACUGGAACUGAGACACGGUCCAGACUCCUACGGGAGGCAGCAGUGAGGAAUAUUGGUCAAUGGGCGUAAGCCUGAACCAGCCAAGUAGCGUGCAGGAUGACGGCCCUAUGGGUUGUAAACUGCUUUUAUGCGGGGAUAAAGUGGCCCACGUGUGGGCUUUUGCAGGUACCGCAUGAAUAAGGACCGGCUAAUUCCGUG
rnacentral:rRNA from 1 species